GAUGAUAGAGAAGGAAGCAUUGUGGAAGUGAAAGAAGGUCUCAAAGUUAUAAGCCCUCCAACAUUGCGACCAAGACAAGGAAGAGAGGAAGAAGAAGAAGAAGAAGAAGAGGAGGAGGAAAGGAGAGGAGAUCGUCGUCGCCACCGCCCCCACCACCAUGAAGAGGAGGAGGAGGAAGAGGAAUGGAGCCACCAAGUAAGGAGAGUUCGUCGCCCUCACCACCACCGUGAAGAUAGAAACGGACUUGAGGAGACACUUUGCACAUUGAAACUUCGCCACAACAUUGGUCAAUCUACAUCUCCUGAUGCAUACAACCCUCAAGCUGGCAGGCUCAAAACACUCACUAGCCUCGACUUCCCAAUCCUUCGUUGGCUUGGACUUGCUGCUGAACAUGGAUCUAUCUACAAAGUAAGUAAUUCUUCUUCAUAAACUUAUCAUCAUUUAUACACUAUUAAUGGAUUAACCAUGAAUGGAUGUUGUGUUGGUGUAGAAUGCUAUGUUUGUACCUUACUACAACGUGAACGCCAACAGCAUAUUAUAUGUAUUGAAUGGAAGUGCAUGGUUCCAAGUUGUGGAUUGUAGUGGCAAUGCUGUAUUCAAUGGGGAACUGAAUGAGGGUCAAGUCCUAACAAUACCACAAAACUAUGCUGUAGCUAUAAAGUCCCUUGAUGACAAUUUCAGGUAGAGUUAAUAAUAUUUAUGAACAUAUAAAAUGUUGUCUCAUAAUUGAUUGAUGUUUAUGAAAUAUUAUGGUUUUUCAGUUAUGUGGCAUUCAAGACAAAUGAUAUACCUCAGAUUGCAGCCCUUGCUGGGCUUACCUCUAGCAUAAGAGCUUUGCCUUUGGAUGUGGUUGCACAUGCAUUCAACUUGGAUAGGGACCAAGCUAGACAACUCAAGAACAACAACCCUUACAAGUUUCUGGUUCCACCACCUCAGUCUCAACUCAGAGCAGUGGCUUAGAAACACCAUAAACCUUCUCUUUUUAUGUGUUUCCCACAGUUAAUAAUAAAAUUAUGAUGAUGAAUAAGAUAGCAAAGGCUUAGAUGCCUUUUGUUAAAUGUAAAAAUAUAUGUGAUGAGUACCCUUUUUAUCCCGAAUCAUGAAGAAACUUUUGUGGCUAAGAGCAUAAAUA
rnacentral:lncRNA from 1 species